AGUGAACGCUGGCGGCAGGCCUAACACAUGCAAGUCGAACGGCAGCACAGUAAGAGCUUGCUCUUACGAGUGGCGAGUGGCGGACGGGUGUGGAAUACAUCGGACUCGACUUUUACGUGGGGGAUACCGUAGGGAAACUUACGCUAAUACCGCAUCCGACCUACGGGUGAAACCAGGGGAGCUUCGGACCUUGCGCGAUAGAUUGAGCCGAGGUCGGAUUAGCUAGUUGGCGGGGUAAAGGCCCACAAAGGCGACGGUCCGUAGCUGGUCUGAGAGGAUGAUCAGCCAAACUGGAACUGAGACACGGCCCAGACUCUUACGGGAGGAAGCAGUGGGGAAUAUCGGACAAUGGGGGAAAGCCUGAGGCAGAAAGCCCGCGUGGGGGAAGAAGGCUUUCGGGUGGUAAACCCCUUUUGUCGGGAAAGAAAAGCAGCAUGCUAAUAGCCAGCUGUUUUGACGGUACCCAAAUAGUAAGCACCGGCUAACUUCGUG
rnacentral:rRNA from 1 species